AACGCGAAGAACCUUACCUGGGCUUGACAUGUGCCUGACCGGCGUGGAAACACGCCUUCCCUUCGGGGCAGGUUCACAGGUGGUGCAUGGCUGUCGUCAGCUCGUGUCGUGAGAUGUUGGGUUAAGUCCCGCAACGAGCGCAACCCCCGUCGCAUGUUGCCAGCAUUUAGUUGGGGACUCAUGCGAGACUGCCGGUGACAAACCGGAGGAAGGUGGGGAUGACGUCAAGUCCUCAUGCCCCUUAUGUCCAGGGCUACACACGUGCUACAUUGGCGCAUACAGAGGGCUGCGAUACCGCGAGGUGGAGCGAAUCCCUUAAAGUGCGUCUCGGUUCGGAUUGCAGGCUGAAAUUCGCCUGCAUGAAGGCGGAGUUGCUAGUAAUCGCGGAUCAGCAUUGCCGCGGUGAAUACGUUCCCGGGCCUUGUA
rnacentral:rRNA from 1 species